AUGGCUCAGGACGAACGCUGGCGGCGUGCUUAAUACAUGCAAGUCGAACGAACUCUGGUAUUGAUUGGUGCUUGCAUCAUGAUUUACAUUUGAGUGAGUGGCGAACUGGUGAGUAACACGUGGAAACCUGCCCAGAAGCGGGGGAUAACACCUGGAAACAGAUGCUAAUACCGCAUAACAGCUUGGACCGCAUGGUCCGAGUUUGAAAGAUGGCUUCGGCUAUCACUUUUGGAUGGUCCCGCGGCGUAUUAGCUAGAUGGUGAGGUAACGGCUCACCAUGGCAAUGAUACGUAGCCGACCUGAGAGGGUAAUCGGCCACAUUGGGACUGAGACACGGCCCAAACUCCUACGGGAGGCAGCAGUAGGGAAUCUUCCACAAUGGACGAAAGUCUGAUGGAGCAACGCCGCGUGAGUGAAGAAGGGUUUCGGCUCGUAAAACUCUGUUGUUAAAGAAGAACAUAUCUGAGAGUAACUGUUCAGGUAUUGACGGUAUUUAACCAGAAAGCCACGGCUAACUACGUGCCAGCAGCCGCGGUAAUACGUAGGUGGCAAGCGUUGUCCGGAUUUAUUGGGCGUAAAGCGAGCGCAGGCGGUUUUUUAAGUCUGAUGUGAAAGCCUUCGGCUCAACCGAAGAAGUGCAUCGGAAACUGGGAAACUU
rnacentral:rRNA from 2 species